CCUGCUUCACAUUCCGCGUGACGUCGGGACUCGCCAACACGGAAGUGAUCGUCGAGCGGCAGCAAGCGCGCGCACUGAAGAAAAAAAAAAACUAAAAACACAGCACACGCUGAAGGGGGAUUCACAGAGUGAGACAGUUGACCUGUUUGGAACAGAAAUGGUGACCCUUGACAUGGACACUGAAGGAUGGACACGUUUCCUAAUAUCUCAAUGAUACCAUCGAUCAAAAGACAAAGUCAUUGCAGAAGCAGAGCUGCAUACAAAGCAUUAAUGGAAGCAUGUGUGAACAGUACUGAAGUCUGGGGCUGAAUUUUAUGGAUCACUUCCACAGUUCUGGAACCUAAAACAUCAACAGCAGAAUGGGCUGACAGGUGGCUGAAUCCAACACACAUACAUGACACACAAACAAACACAUGCAAGCCUGCACAAGACAGCAUGUAAGCAGACAUUUUCGUGGAAUUAUGGGAACUUUAGUUUUAACAGUUUCUAUCUCUGUCUUUCUCUUAGUUUCUCAUUUAUUUUGUGACCUUUAACCUUGUUGGAAAUCAAAGGAACAAAGUGAUCACAUUCAAAUGUUGUUUUACUUUUAAGCUUGUAUGACUUGUCAAUGAAAUCUGACAAAUGUUUUCCCUUUUUUUUGUCAAUAUUGAAGGUGAGACAUGGCAAAUAAUGAUUAUAAUUAAAUGAUUGCAUUAAAAACAUAUUGUUGGCACAAAUAUGAUGAGAAAAAUACAAUGACAAUGUAAUUCCUAAGGCAUUAAUGUUUUUUUUUUUUGUAGAAAAAAGGGUUGAAUCGAAAAAUACACUAGAAGUGAGCAUAGCACAGACACUGAUUAUAUAGUUGGUGUGAUUUUAAGGUAAUUUUGACUACAGUUAGAUGCCAUUGUAGUAAAAUGAAUUAAUAUUGAGUAAAAUUUGUCAAAAAGUUUGGGGUUGGUAAGACUUUUAGUUCACAAACGCCUGCAUUUAUUUGAUAUUUUGAAAUAAUGAUGUUAUUGAAAAUAACAUUUCAAUGUUUAAUAUAUAUUUAAAAAUGUUAUUUAUUCCUGUUAUGGCAAAGCUGAAUUUUUAGCAUUCAAUACAACAGUCUGCAGUGUCACAUGAUCCUUAAAAAAUCAUUCUAAUGUUAAUUUGGUGCUCAAGAAACAUUCAUUAUUAUUAUCAGAGUUUAAAACAGUUGUGCUGCUUAUCUUUUUUUAUGAAUAGAAAAAGUUUAAAAGAACAGCAUUUAUUUGAAAUAGGUCCUUUAUAAAUGUCUUCACUGACACUUCUGAACAAUUUAAUACAUCCUUGAAGAAUUCCAAUAUUAAAUCUUGACCCCAAAAUUUCAUUUUUUUUUGUAUAAUUACAUUAAAUUAAAAUAAUAAUUUAAUCAAAAGACAAAAAAUAUGACUAAAACUAAAAAUAUUUAAAGAAAAAUAACAAUUGUAUGUGUGUGAUAGUAAAACCUUUUUUUUUGGUGUUGUGGGAACAAAAUUUUUUUUUUUUGUAAAAAGUGCAGAAAAACAAACAUAAAGUGUGUACAGUAUAAAAAAUUAUUUGUGUGUGUGUGUGUGUGUUUGUGUGUGUGUGUGUGUGUGUGUGUGAUUUGGACGACUGCUCUCUACUGCCUUCUGCUGUCAUGUGUUGUUUGGGGCAGAGACAUGAAGGUCUUCGCUAAACAAGUUCAUAAAGGUUUUUGAGAAGGUAAGCUGCUUUGUUGGGUUUUGUGUGUAUGUGUGUAACCAGAGAGACACAAUGACAUUAAGGAGAGUGAAUUAAACUAUGACCAGGCUUUUAAUUUUAAACACCCUGACCAUGAAAAACACAAAUUAAGCACCUAAUAGGCACCUGUUCUUAUGAGGCAGAGAUUCUAUAAUUACGCAAAUGUGUCUGCUGAAUAUAGAAUGUCCUUCAUGCCUAUCUGAGCCCAAACACUCAAAGCCACAGUAUGUGUGUGUCUGUCUUUCUCUGUGUGUGUGUGUGUGUGUGUGUGUGUGUUAAUGCUUUUCCUGUGCAAGUGCUAAUGUAUUUUCUGUGUCUUUUUUCAUUGGCUAUUUUAGUGAAGGUUUCCUCUUCGCUGUGUUUCAUUUGAGAGUGUGUGAGGUGUGUCUGGAUGUGUGUGUUGAAUGGAUUCUUUCAGCCUCCCUUUUUCCUGAUCUUCUCAGUCACUUAUUCAUCAGACGGCCUGUUGGAGGAAGAGAGAGAGGUGUGUGUCAUAUCAGUGAUGUCUUUCUUAGCACUGAGCCAUGAUCUCUGCCAAUAAUUGCUGUAAUCAAGAUGCUUUAACAUGCACAGGUGUGUGAGGUGGAUUUGAGAAAAAUGAGUGGAUCACUCCACUCCGUAUAGUUCCCUAUAAUGUGAAUCAAUGAACAUGAAUUCAUGCAUUAGCAAGGGUCUUUAAAACAGAGAUACUGAUGACACAAUUACCUGUGACACAUUUAAAAGGCUUCACAACAAAAUGAUGCUGAUAUUUCAUCAGCUGUUACAGUAUAUUUCAAAAUUGAUUUAUAAAACUGUGUUUACAGGAGACUUUAUGCUUAAUGCACUUGCAUUCAUACAUACUGUAUACAGUAUUAUGCGGAAACGCAUAGACUGGAAACACGAGCACAUGUGUUUAAAGUUUGUUUUUUAGUAACCAAAUUCAUGUUUGGUGAUUUCUGACCUAGACAUUUGAUAGAAUAGAGAUUGUUCUGUAAACAUACGUAUCAGAUUAACCUCUGCAUAAACUCAAAAGCUGCAGGGCUUUAUGUAAUUUCACAUGCUCAAAGCUUAAUUUUACCACAACUUAAAAGGAUAGUUCACCAAAAAAUUUAAUUUGGUCAUCAUUUCCUUGCCUCCAAACCUGUAUUACUUUCAUUUUUGAAAGUGAUUAUAUAUCAAUGAAUUUGACUUGCGUGUUUUGCAGAAGAUGAUAAAAGAACAACAUGAGGGUGAAUAAAAGUUAUUGUUUUUGGGUGAACAUUGUAGUUGUUGUUUACUACAGAGCCUUGUGAAAUAUAUGAUAU